rnacentral:rRNA from 1 species
UACGAAGGGGGCUAGCGUUGUUCGGAAUUACUGGGCGUAAAGUGUGCGCAGGCGGCGUUGCAAGUCGGGCGUGAAAUCCCACGGCUCAACCGUGGAAGUGCACUCGAAACUGCGUAGCUAGAGUCCUGGAGAGGAAGGUGGAAUGCUUGGUGUAGAGGUGAAAUUCGUAGAUAUCAAGCGGAACACCGGUGGCGAAGGCGACCUUCUGGACAGUGACUGACGCUGAGACGCGAAAGCGUGGGGAGCAAACAGG